rnacentral:rRNA from 1 species
GAUGAACGCUGGCGGCGUGCCUAAUACAUGCAAGUCGAGCGAACAGAUAAGGAGCUUGCUCCUUUGAAGUUAGCGGCGGACGGGUGAGUAACACGUGGGUAACCUACCUAUAAGACUGGGAUAACUUCGGGAAACCGGAGCUAAUACCGGAUAACAUUUGGAACCGCAUGGUUCUAAAGUGAAAGAUGGUUUUGCUAUCACUUAUAGAUGGACCCGCGCCGUAUUAGCUAGUUGGUAAGGUAACGGCUUACCAAGGCGACGAUACGUAGCCGACCUGAGAGGGUGAUCGGCCACACUGGAACUGAGACACGGUCCGGACUCCUACGGGAGGCAGCAGUAGGGAAUCUUCCGCAAUGGGCGAAAGCCUGACGGAGCAACGCCGCGUGAGUGAUGAAGGGUUUCGGCUCGUAAAACUCUGUUAUUAGGGAAGAACAAAUGUGUAAGUAACUGUGCACAUCUUGACGGUACCUAAUCAGAAAGCCACGGCUAACUACGUGCCAGCAGCCGCGGUAAUACGUAGGUGGCAAGCGUUAUCCGGAAUUAUUGGGCGUAAAGCGCGCGUAGGCGGUUUCUUAAGUCUGAUGUGAAAGCCCACGACUCAACCGUGGAGGGUCAUUGGAAACUGGGAAACUUGAGUGCAGAAGAGGAAAGUGGAAUUCCAUGUGUAGCGGUGAAAUGCGCAGAGAUAUGGAGGAACACCAGUGGCGAAGGCGACUUUCUGGUCUGUAACUGACGCUGAUGUGCGAAAGCGUGGGGAUCAAACAGGAUUAGAUACCCUGGUAGUCCACGCCGUAAACGAUGAGUGCUAAGUGUUAGGGGGUUUCCGCCCCUUAGUGCUGCAGCUAACGCAUUAAGCACUCCGCCUGGGGAGUACGACCGCAAGGUUGAAACUCAAAGGAAUUGACGGGGACCCGCACAAGCGGUGGAGCAUGUGGUUUAAUUCGAAGCAACGCGAAGAACCUUACCAAAUCUUGACAUCCUUUGAAAACUCUAGAGAUAGAGCCUUCCCCUUCGGGGGACAAAGUGACAGGUGGUGCAUGGUUGUCGUCAGCUCGUGUCGUGAGAUGUUGGGUUAAGUCCCGCAACGAGCGCAACCCUUAAGCUUAGUUGCCAUCAUUAAGUUGGGCACUCUAGGUUGACUGCCGGUGACAAACCGGAGGAAGGUGGGGAUGACGUCAAAUCAUCAUGCCCCUUAUGAUUUGGGCUACACACGUGCUACAAUGGACAAUACAAAGGGCAGCUAAACCGCGAGGUCAUGCAAAUCCCAUAAAGUUGUUCUCAGUUCGGAUUGUAGUCUGCAACUCGACUACAUGAAGCUGGAAUCGCUAGUAAUCGUAGAUCAGCAUGCUACGGUGAAUACGUUCCCGGGUCU